CAACUGCGGCUGCUGCUGUUUGCUGGCAAUUUCCUGUUCACAGAAUAAUUAUAAAAACACAAAGCUUGCUUCUAGGCUGGGAUCGGCAGGGUAAUGAAGACUCCCACUUUGCUUCAGAUUCUGAAUGUAUUGAAAGCCCAGCCCAAGAAAAGUGUCUGGCCAUCCACUCCAGCGCUGCUCCGGCUAUCUGCAGUGAGCCUGGCUUUUCUCCGGCAAAGCCGAGGUCCCUACGGAGUGCCCUCGAUUCAGUCCUUGGGGAAGGGCCUGAAGUCACAGUGCCAGAUUCAGUAGAGAAGGUGGCUGAGGACCCGGGGUCACCUUUCUGUGAGCUGCCUUCCUGCUGGAUGGCCCUCGGCAGCAGCGUUCACCGCACUUUUAACCAUACUUUGAAGAUACUCCUGAAAGAGGGCUUCCAGAACGGCUGCUGAGGUGGCAAGGCUGGAGGUCUCAGUGUGACGGAGGAGGCUGGAGUGCCUGGCACCGUGUCCUGUCUGUGACACCCUCGUGGUUUUGGACAUUUGCCUUAUUUCCCCCCAUCUGUACACCACAGUGACCGGGACGGGCUGAUGCCACAGAGCGUUGACCGUGGUACCCGGCAUCGGGCAGGAGUUUCCUAAACGAUGAAGAAGGAGAGGCACAGAGAGGCUAAACACAAUGCGCUGAGUCCCACAGCUGGCAUCGGUGGGGCUGGGCUUCCACCCCGUGACCGUAUCUCUGGUCGUGUAUUAAUCGCCGCCCCAGACAUCUCCUCCAAGUCCCACUCGGAGCGCUCACUGUUCAUGAAAUCCAAAGCAGGGGACACGGGGCGAGCCCCUGACUCAAGGCCUGGCACACAGUGUGCCCAAGAAGGAGCACGAAUGUCGCUGCUGCAGCCCUCAGUGGGUCCCUGUGAUCGUGAGCGCGGUGGCUGUGAUGGCACCAGGUGGUGACAGAACCUGCCCUUGUUGGCCCUGUGGGCUUUCUUCAGCCUCACCAGUCUCAGCAGAAAGACCUGGGCUGAUGGCCUUGUGGGCGCUUCCCCAGGCUCCUUCUCCUGCCCGACCCCUUACUGUGAAUGUGCCAUCUGGACUCCAGCCCUUCAGGGUCUCCCCGGGGGUCCCGCCCGCUCCCCGUCUGCAGGUCUGCAGAGUUUGCUCUUUGGCAGAUGAAACGCGCACACAGCUCCUGCCCCUUCCGCCUGGACUAAGGAGCUUGCGUUCUGCUUCCCCGGUGACCCUGCUCUUUGCUUCAGAGUUCUCUGUAAGAGCUGCUGCAGCCUCUGCGUCUCCUCCCCUCCUGCUCUUCCAAGGCCACCCCGUUCAGACAGAGGCCUUUCCACCGACACUGCUGCCCAGCCCCCAGCGAGUGCCGACUGCAAGACCGUACCCAGCGGUCGGCUCUUGGCUUUUAUUGGUCUUCAACUGAACAUCAAACAGCUAAAAUUUAUUUCUUCUUUUCCCUCUUCCUCCUCUUUUUCUUUUUCUCCUUCUUGUUUUUUAUGUUUUCUCACUGAAAUACAUCCCAAGCCUUUUAAUAUACAUAUUAAUAUAUAUAAAAUUAUAUAUAUUUGAGAGUAUUUCCAAGUUGCUGAAUUACUCUAAUAGGCCAACAAUAGUGUCUGUUGUUGCCUCCUGGAGUCUGGGACGUGAGCCUGUGCCACCACAGCGGCCUUUGCCUCCUUGGUCUCCUCCUCCACCUGGCUGUCGGGUGUCCCCUCCGGGCUCACUCCCUUCUCUGGGCAUUGUCCUCCUCGGUUUCCUUGGCUGGUUUCUUCUCUCGUAUUACUGGAGAGCCACUGGGCUCGGACUUGGUCUCCUUCUCUGUGACGCUCACAUCCUCGGUAAUCCCACCCCCCAUGGAUGUAAAUUCCAUCCCUAUGCUCUGAAACUCUGAAAUUUAAAUUUCCAUCCCAGCCCUCUUACCUAAACAGCAGCCACAAUAUCUGAGUGCGUUCUCAGCAUCACUUGUGUGUCAGAUUUUCUUCACACUAAAAAAUGUUGCCAGUUGAGGUGAUUUCCACCCCACGACUGCUCCCCAGUCUUCCCAUACAUGGCCGGUGACAGUGAUUCCAUCCUCUGGUUGCUCAGGCCACAGUCUUAGGAAUCUCCCUGGGCUGUGCUCACCAUGUGCACUCCGUCAGGAAAUCCUGCUUGCUUCUUCCAUCUUGCUAUUUCUUUCUUUUUUUUUAUUUAAAGAGAAAAAAAAGAAAGGACAUAAAAAAACAAAGCAGUAAAAGGGUACAAAUAAUACAGUAUUUCAAGAAAAAAUAUACAAUAAGAAAUCACCAGUUAAUAGGUCACACAUUAUCUUCCCAGGAACAGUUGUCCAAAUUACAAAAUUAAAGCAUAUAAAGUGGACAUUCAUACAGUGAAAUUGGAGACAGUUCCGUUCAACGAUCCAACAAAAGCUCAGUAAUAUGGUUUUCCAUCCUACACACUCGAACGUACCUGCGGUUAUAUCCCUUAGUCCACCUUCCUUUCCUCUCUUUUUUUACAAUAACAAUUAGACAUUUUGGGCUUUAUUACUCCCACAGUUCUUAUUACUUUUUUUGAAGAGAAUAAAACCAAACGUGACUAAGCAAAACAGAACAGAAGGGUGGGCAUAGCACAUGAUGCAAAAAUAGAAUACCAGGUGAUCAAAAGUGGUUACCACUGUGCCUCUUGCUAUUUUUAAACUGCGUUGUCUAUAUCAUCAGGUAUAAUAGAAUUGAUGAAAACAGUACAGAACAAGACCAAUAAAACCUCCACUGGAGACCUUGCAGGACUUCAAAAAAAGGAUAAUAGUCAAACCAUAAUGGGCAUCAUAGUGUAUCUUCUUGCCUUCAAAGUGGUUGCCUAUACCCUCAAACUUGGUACUAUCAAACAAAAUAGAAUAUAGAAUAAUCAGAACAAGAUGGGGAGAGCAAUACUGGGGU